rnacentral:rRNA from 1 species
CAGCAGCGCGGGAAUACAGAGGGUGCGAGCGUUAAUCGGAUUUACUGGGCGUAAAGCGUGCGUAGGCGGCUUCUUAAGUCGGAUGUGAAAUCCCUGAGCUUAACUUAGGAAUUGCAUUCGAUACUGGGAAGCUAGAGUAUGGGAGAGGAUGGUAGAAUUCCAGGUGUAGCGGUGAAAUGCGUAGAGAUCUGGAGGAAUACCGAUGGCGAAGGCAGCCAUCUGGCCUAAUACUGACGCUGAGGUACGAAAGCAUGGGGAGCAAACAGGAUUAGAUACCCGAGUAGUCCCUGUCUCUUAUACA